GGAGGCGUAUAGGUGCCUGGUGGCCCUCCCGGUCUUCAACACCGGCGGAGCCGAGGAUCUCGGCUCGGCGGGUUCGAUUCCCGUCCGCCUCCGCCA
rnacentral:tRNA from 1 species